rnacentral:lncRNA from 1 species
AAACUUUUCCUAACAAGACUAGACUGCCCAUGUAUACAUCUUAGGUUUGAUUUAACAAACGCUGUACAGAGGUAAAGAUUCGAGACUUGGAUUGAUUUCAUAAAAAGUUUUAGGAUCCAAUGCUCGUCAUUUCGCCUUGGGAUGCAAUGGGUGUGCAAUGAAAAGCAUCCUUGACUUAGCCAUUCAUACGCGACUCGGCUCAGAAGUAGUCUUAAUGAAAAGCUACAUAACAUCUGAGAAAAUUGUGGUUGCAACUUGCCAGGAUACGCUAGAGAACCCUGUCUACCAUAUUCGUGCGGAAAUUCGCAUCCUGGAAAAGCAACUAGAAAUAUAAAGGUUGCCUUUUAUAGAAUCGGCUGUUGUGUAUGCUGCUGCAAGCCUGGCGACAAGCAUGGAUGGGAGCAGGUUUUGUGAUUAC